rnacentral:tRNA from 1 species
CCCCGGCUGGCUCUGUUGGUAGAGUGUGAGACUCACAAUCUCAGGGUAGUGGGUUCCUGUCCCAUGUUGGGCG